GAGGAGUACUCCCACCCUGCUGCCAUCUGCUAUCAUAGCAUGCGAGGGGGAUGACUAUCACGAGGAGAGCGAAGAGGGCUGGGUCUAAUAUGUGACGUAAAACAUCCCACCGGUGGGAUGAAAGAAGUGGACCGGGUCCGCCCCCGUCCUGGUGGUCAGGUCCGUUGGUUAAACAGAUCCACCAUCAGCACAUUUUGGCUUGAUCUUUCAGACCCACCCAUGGGCAUUUUUUUUUACACAAUUCUGAAUGUCUAAUAACCAAAUAUGUGUCCAAAUAUGGGUAAAAUGUCAGUGGUCCUAUCAUAUUCCCCCAUGGACGUUUGGGUGAUCUGUUACAGAUUAUGUUGACAUUAUGUUGAGUCAGACAGUAUAUUUGCCUAAGAAGAACUUGCAAGAGACAUGUGCCUAAUGUUUGUUUCAGUGCCAGAUGGUGUAUGAGUGUCAAUGUAAUUAUUGUGAGUGUGAGCUUGAGUGUGUGUAUAGUCACAGACUUCAGUCUUUAUAAUGUACUUCUCAUAGACAUGGUUAUUGCUGCUGCCACAUGAAAACCUCCACUAGAGUCCACUAGAUAAAGCUGAAAAAUUAUGAUACACACAAUAAAACAAGGCUGUUUUGA